GUGCCAGGAGUGGGGUACUAUGUGUGGCCACUUUGGGCUGAUGAAGGAGGCCUCACACUAGGCCAAACAAGGAACAAGACAUGCCCUCUUGAUGUUAUCCGUGACCCUUCUUUUAUUGGCUCACCAGUGGCAUUCUCGGCAGAAGGGCUUGACCACAUUCCAACUCUCACUGAUCUCACCAUUGACUUCCCUGUGGUCACAGCCUGCAACCAGCCUACAGUGUGGAAGCUCAGCAAGGAAGGGUCAGGGUUCUGGUUUGUGAGCACCAGUGGGAACCCUCAGGAUAUCACAAGCAAGUUCAAGAUUGAGAGGCUUGAAGGGGAUCACGCCUAUGAGAUCUACAGCUUCAAGUUCUGCCCCAGUAGGCCUGGUGUACUGUGUGCUCCUGUGGGAAC
rnacentral:lncRNA from 1 species